rnacentral:rRNA from 1 species
UACGUAGGGUGCGAGCGUUGUCCGGAAUUAGUGGGCGUAAAGAGCUCGUAGGUGGUUUGUCGCGUUGUCCGUGAAAACUCACAACUCAAUUGUGGGCGUGCGGGCGAUACGGGCAGACUGGAGUACUGCAGGGGAGACUGGAAUUCCUGGUGUAGCGGUGGAAUGCGCAGAUAUCAGGAGGAACACCGGUGGCGAAGGCGGGUCUCUGGGCAGUAACUGACGCUGAGGAGCGAAAGCGUGGGGAGCGAACAGG